AUAUCAAUUUAUGAUAAUGUAAGAGAAGAUAGACUUUGUUAUUCCCACACUGGAGAAAUGCCUGUGCUACAGCAGCUCAAAAGAAAAAUUUACACACAUCAGAAUAAUUACA